AACAAGGCGUACCUGCGGACCUGCGGAAGGAUCAUUACAUGGCGGAGAAGGUGGGCACCUGGCAAACUCCAGGUUGUGAUGCCUUCACGCUCUUCCACCCUUGUCUAUUUGCACCUUCUGUCGUUCCCUCGGCGGGUUUCGACCCGCCGGCGGCAACAUUGAAAAACCUUUUUUGCUGUUAGCAUCCAAUUCUUCUGAUCAAAAUAUCAAAUCGUUACAACUUUUAACAAUGGAUCUCAG
rnacentral:misc_RNA from 1 species